rnacentral:lncRNA from 1 species
CUAUGGGGUGGUGUGGUUAGCUCAUGAGGGGAACUCUUACCACAGACAAGCAGCUUCUCUAGGGGCUUCUGAGAGAGCAGAAAUAUUGCACUUCGAGUGAAGUGUCAUAGAGAGGGAAGCAAAUGGUUCCAUGGAACAACCUCCUUGAGCAGGGUGAGCCCUGCCUCCAACUUCGGGUGCUGAAAUCGGUGGAAAGUCCCUCAGGAUUUCAAGAUAUGCAAAAAGUAGAAAAUUCCCAGCCUUUAAGUUCCUGCUGCUCAGCUCCUGACAUUGCUGCUGGAUGCUUCAGGUGUUAAUGUACAGCUGGCUUCAUUCACAAGCCUCAACGCAUUCUGUAACGUAACGGGGCCGGAUUCAGAUCUGGUGCAAACCGCUGAGGCUCCAUUCACACUACAUGGAGCUCAGCCUUCUCAUUAGUGUCUCCUUCUACGGAAAGCCUUCAAAAUCUACAGCAGAUGGAAAAAAAAAACAAGAAGCUCCCUCCUACUCCUUCCAACUUCAACAAGCUGCGUUUUUUUUCAUUCAUAAGCACCGGGGCUAUUAAUAAAAUUUGCUGAAUGAGAAUGGUUAACCCCAAAAAGUGACACAUACCUUACGCUCUGCGAGCCAACAUGACAACAGUCAAAACAGAAGUGGGCCCUUUCAGUGCAUCAGCACGUAACGCUGUCUGCAGUUUGGAGAAAAAAUAUCAGACGACGUCCUAUCAGCUGCAGACAGAUGAGUCACUGGCAAGCUGGAGGCGAGCAGACCUAAAGUCACCUCCAGCCUGCAAAACACUUCCCGUCUUCAGUAAGAAGUGCUGGAGGAUUCCGUCAAUGAAGCGAAAUGCCUGGCAAGCAGAUGUGUGGUGUGAGCACACUGGGUUCCUGCCCUCUCCCAGGGCACUGGGGGUGGGGUGGUGAGGAGCAGGGGUCAAAGGGAAGGUGGGUUUCUCCUGCAAGAUUUGUCCCUGAGCACAAGAAUGCAAAGCCUGCCCUACUAGAGGAAGACAGUGGAUGAUACACAAAUGUUUUGGGCUGGAAAGUGAGAAAGACUUGGUCUGGUUGGGUUUCUUUCUCUGAUCUCAUCAAGCAACACGGAGCACAAGAGGAGAAACUGAGGGAACUGGCAUUGUUCAGUCUGGAGAAGAGGAGGCUCAGGGGAGACCUUAUGGCUCUCUACAGCUCCCUGAAAGGAGGUUGCAG